rfam:Nematostella vectensis strain CH2 x CH6 NEMVEscaffold_514_Cont29145, whole genome shotgun sequence.
ACCUCGUUAGCGCAGUAGGCAGCGCGUCAGUCUCAUACUCAAAUCUAGAAAUCUGAAGGUUGUGAGUUCGAUCCUCACACGGGGCA